rnacentral:rRNA from 1 species
GUGCCAGCCGCCGCGGUAAGACGGAGGGUGCAAGCGUUGUUCGGAAUUACUGGGCGUAAAGCGCGGGCAGGUGGUCCUUUAAGUCCUUUGUGAAAUCCCGGGGCUCAACUCCGGAUGUGCAUAGGAUACUGGAGGACUGGAGACUGGUAGAGGCGAGCGGAAUUCCUGGUGUAGCGGUGGAAUGCGUAGAUAUCAGGAAGAACACCGGUGGCGAAGGCGGCUCGCUGGGCCAGUUCUGACACUCAUCCGCGAAAGCGUGGGGAGCAAACAGGAUUAGAUACCCCAGUAGUCC